rnacentral:rRNA from 1 species
GCCUCAGUGUAUAGUCUUACGGGGGUAGGGCACUGGAUGGGCUAGGGCUUCUUAAGAGGUACCAAACCCAACCAAACCUCGAAUACCGUGGAGAUGUUAACUGGGAGUGAGACUACGGGUGCUAAGAUUCGUGGUCGAGAGGGAAAAAGCCCAGACCAACAGCUAAGGUCCCCAAGUUUAUGCUAAGUGAUAAAGGAUGUGGGAAUGCUGAGACAAUCAGGAGGUUCGCCUAGAAGCAGCUAUCCUUUAAAGAGUGCGUAAUAGCUCACUGAUCAAGCGCACCUGCGCCGAAAAUGAAUGGGACUAAGUAAUUUGCCGAAGCUGUGGGAUUUUUAAUAAUCGGUAGGGGAGCGUUCUACCCUAGAUAGAAGCAUUAGCGGAAGCGGAUGUGGACGAAGUAGAAGUGAGAAUGUCGGCUUGAGUAGCGAAAACAUUGGUGAGAAUCCAAUGCCCCGAAAACCUAAGGUUUCCUCCGGAAGGCUCGUCCGCGGAGGGUGAGUCAGGACCUAAGGUGAGGCCGAAAGGCGUAGCCGAUGGACAACGGGUUAAUAUUCCCGUACCAUUUAUUAUUGAUACCGAGGGACGAAGAAGGCUAAACCAUCCGGAUGUUGGUUACCGGUUUAAGCGUUCAAGGUGUAGAGAGACGGAGAAAACGUCUUGAGCUAAAGCGUGAAUACGAAGUACUAAGGUACUGAAGUGGUUGAUGUCAUACUUCCAAGAAAAGCUCGAAAUAUCACAAAUAAUAGAUGCCUGUACCUGAAACCGACACAGGUAGGUAGGUAGAGUAUACCAAGGGGCGCGAGAUAACUCUCUCUAAGGAACUCGGCAAAAUUACCUCGUAACUUCGGAAGAAGAGGUACCCUUGCAAAAGGGUUGCAAUAAAUUGACCCUGGCGACUGUUUACCAAAAACACAGGUCUCCGCUAAAUCGUAAGAUUAAGUAUGGGGGCUGACGCCUGCCCAGUGCCGGAAGGUUAAAGAAGUUGGUUAGUCUCUGACAAAGCUGGCGACUGAAGCCCCGGUGAACGGCGGCCGUAACUAUAACGGUCCUAAGGUAGCGAAAUUCCUUGUCGGGUAAGUUCCGAC